rnacentral:rRNA from 1 species
CGGUAACAUUUCUAGCUUGCUAGAAGAUGACGAGUGGCGGACGGGUGAGUAAUACUUAGGAAUAUGCCUUUGUGUGGGGGAUAACCAUUGGAAACGAUGGCUAAUACCGCAUAACGUCUUCGGACCAAAGGGGGCUUUUGCUCCCGCGCAAAGAGUAGCCUAAGCGAGAUUAGCUUGUUGGUGAGGUAAAGGCUCACCAAGGCGACGAUCUCUAGCUGUUCUGAGAGGAAGAUCAGCCACACUGGAACUGAGACACGGUCCAGACUCCUACGGGAGGCAGCAGUGGGGAAUAUUGCACAAUGGGGGAAACCCUGAUGCAGCCAUGCCGCGUGCGUGAAGAAGGCCUUCGGGUUGUAAAGCACUUUCAGUUGUGAGGAAAGGUUGAUGGUUAAUACCCAUUAGCUGUGACGUUAGCAACAGAAGAAGGACCGGCUAACUCCGUGCCAGCAGCCGCGGUAAUACGGAGGGUCCGAGCGUUAAUCGGAAUUACUGGGCGUAAAGCGCACGCAGGCGGUUUGUUAAGCUAGAUGUGAAAGCCCUGGGCUCAACCUGGGAAUUGCAUUUAGAACUGGCAGGCUAGAGUUUUGGAGAGGGGAGUGGAAUUCCAGGUGUAGCG